AAUAAUUUCCAAAAAAUAAAUACUCUAGUAUGUUAAUGAAAAUGCUUUUUGUCCGUGAAUAAUUUGAUUUGUUUAAUAAAAUUAUUGGUGGGCCUUGACCUCUCUGACCCCUAAUGACGAACCGUCUCUGCUGUAACUCUCUAACUAGUCCUGAGAAUUAUAGCGUAUUUUCUAUUAUAAGUAAAAUAUUUAUUUUAAGUGAUCUUAGAAUCCUUCGAUAUGUCCCUCAUUUAGUCUCGCCGAAAUUAAGAAAAGUAUAUACAACAGACUCUCGAUUAACCAGAGUAUUCGGGAAAUUAAUUUACUCGGAUAAUCCGCAAAAUAUUCAAAAAAUAAAUUUUCAUGCAUGCAUAAAAUUUUUCUUUUCCAAUAAAUGAUAAACGAGAAAUUUGUUUGUUUACAGCAAAUAAAUUAUUGAAAUACAUUUGCAGUUUAAUUCAGUUUUAAUUUUAAUUACUAAGAUAAAAUAAUAAUCAUCAAAAUGUGGGGCGCAUAUGAAAUUUUCAGGGGGUGCGCGACUUUUGCUCGUCACAAUACAUCUCUAUUGUAUGGGGGUACCUGCUGAUAUUCUUUACUAACACAGGGGUGCGAAAUUAAAGUUUGGGACCGCUAAUCUAUAAUAAAGAAACGCUCUAGAUUCGUUUAGAAAUCUUAUCAGGUAUCUAUGUGAAAAUCUGAAUCUCUAUGUAUAUGUUACGGGAAAUGUGCGAAAUCCGGUUAAUGUCGAGAUUAAUCAGGAGAUGUCAAUAUUAUCCAAGUACAGUGGAUAAAGAUAGAAAGUAAUUUAUCUCGUUUUCA
rnacentral:lncRNA from 1 species